AACGCUAGCUACAGGCUUAACACAUGCAAGUCGAGGGGUAGCACGGAGGAAGCUUGCUUCCUUGGGUGACGACCGGCGCACGGGUGAGUAACGCGUAUCCGACCUACCCAUAACACGGGCACAGCCGCUCGAAAGAGUGAUUGAUUCCCGAUAUGUCAUUGGAGUAGAUUCAAUGAUGAAAGAUUUAUCGGUUAUGGAUGGGGAUGCGUAAGAUUAGGUAGUAGGCGGGGUAACGGCCCACCUAGCCGAAGAUCUUUAGGGGUUCUGAGAGGAAGGUCCCCCACACUGGUACUGAGACACGGACCAGACUCCUACGGGAGGCAGCAGUGAGGAAUAUUGGUCAAUGGGCGGAAGCCUGAACCAGCCAAGUAGCGUGAAGGAUUACAGCCCUACGGGUUUUAAACUUCUUUUAUAUGAGAGUAAUGUGCGCUACGUGUAGCGUAUUGCAAGUAUCAUAUGAAUAGGCAUCGGCUAACUCCGUGCCAGCAGCCGCGGUAAUACGGAGGAUGCGAGCGUUAUCCGGAUUUAUUGGGUUUAAAGGGAGCGUAGGCGGGAUAUUAAGUCAGUCGUCAAAGCCUGUGGCUCAACCACAGCCCGCGAUUGAUACUGGUGACCUUGAGUGCGGAUGAGGUGGAUGGAAUUCGUGGUGUAGCGGUGAAAUGCUUAGAUAUCACGAAGAACUCCGAUUG
rnacentral:rRNA from 1 species